rnacentral:rRNA from 1 species
CAGCCUGCCCAGUGACUAUUAGUUAAACGGCCGCGGUACCCUAACCGUGCAAAGGUAGCACAAUCACUUGUUCUUUAAAUCAGGACUAGUAUGAAUGGCCACACGAGGGCUACACUGUCUCCCCCCUUUAAUCAGUGAAACUGAUCUCCCCGUGAAGAAGCGAGGAUAGUCCUAUAAGACGAGAAGACCCCAUGGAACUUUAAACUUGUACCACUGUAUUUCAUUUACCACACCAACCAAAGCAAUCAUGGCUACUAGUCUUUCGGCUGGGGCGACCACGGAGAAAAAUUAAUCCUCCACGAUGAAGGGAACUUCCCUAAUCCCAGAGCUACUGCUCUAAGAAUCAUUAAAUUGACAUAUUGACCCACCCACCCUGAUCAACGAACCAAGCUACCCUGGGGAUAACAGCGCAAUCCAUUUCAAGAGACCCCAUCGACAAAUGGGCUUACGACCUCGAUGUUGGAUCAGGGUAUCCUGGUGGUGUAGCCGCUACCUAAGGUUCGUUUGUUCAACGAUUAAAACCCU